ACGUGUAAAGCAUUCACCAGCAUCCACAUAGCAUCAACGUAUGUCACUUGUUCUUAACUUCUACCAUGUCCGGUUGCCUGUUUGCCUCAAGUGGGUUUAUUGUUUCAUACCAGUUACCCAUUCCUGUUUUCUACCACCGACUAACAGCUAACAGCGACAGGCGGUCUAAAGGGCUUCCGGAGGAUUGGUCUGAUCCUUGAGCGUUUCACACAGUGCUUAUCAAUGUGAAUCUCACCAUGUUAAAGCGUAACUUUCGUGUGUUCCAUAAAAGGCUGUGGGCGAUGGAAUCUACCUUCUUUAGGAGGCUGCGGUUUUAGGCAAAACAGUGGACAACUGGCAGAGACAGGCAGGACAAUAAGAAAAAAGUUAGCCACAACGGAUAUACCUUUCGAGCGC